CAGUCGCCGCGGUAAUACGUAGGUGGCAAGCGUUGUCCGGAAUUAUUGGGCGUAAAGGGCUCGCAGGCGGUUUCUUAAGUCUGAUGUGAAAGCCCCCGGCUCAACCGGGGAGGGUCAUUGGAAACUGGGAAACUUGAGUGCAGAAGAGGAGAGUGGAAUUCCACGUGUAGCGGUGAAAUGCGUAGAGAUGUGGAGGAACACCAGCGGCGAAGGCGACUCUCUGGUCUGUAACUGACGCUGAGGAGCGAAAGCGUGGGGAGCGAACAGGAUUAGAUACCCGAGUAGUCCCUGUCUCUUAUAC
rnacentral:rRNA from 1 species